GACGAACGCUGGCGGCGUGCUUAACACAUGCAAGUCGAACGGAGUGGCGAACGGGUGAGUAACACGUGGGUGAUCUGCCUUUCACUUCGGGAUAAGCUUGGGAAACUGGGUCUAAUACCGGAUAGUGCAAGAUGUGUUCGCGGGCUAUCAGCUUGUUGGUGGGGUAAUGGCAGACCAAGGCGUCGACGGCUAGCCGGCCUGGGAGGGUGUACGGGGACAAUGGUCCGAAGGUACGACGCAGACUCGAACGGGGGGCAGCAGUGGGGAGUAUUGCACAGUGAGCGGAAGGCUGAGGCGGCGACGCCGGGGGGGGGAUGAAGGCGUUGGGGUUGGAAACUCCUUUCGACAGGGACGCGGUACCUGUAGAAGAAGCACCGGCUAACUACGUGCCAGCAGCCGCGGUAAUAC
rnacentral:rRNA from 1 species